GGUUAAGCGACUAAGCGUACACGGUGGAUGCCCUGGCAGUCAGAGGCGAUGAAGGACGUGCUAAUCUGCGAUAAGCGUCGGUAAGGUGAUAUGAACCGUUAUAACCGGCGAUUUCCGAAUGGGGAAACCCAGUGUGAUUCGUCACACUAUCAUUAACUGAAUCCAUAGGUUAAUGAGGCGAACCGGGGAACUGAAACAUCUAAGUACCCCGAGGAAAAGAAAUCAACCGAGAUUCCCCCAGUAGCGGCGAGCGAACGGGGAGGAGCCCAGAGCCUGAAUCAGUGUGUGUGUUAGUGGAAGCGUCUGGAAAGGCGCGCGAUACAGGGUGACAGCCCCGUACACAAAAAUGCACAUGCUGUGAGCUCGAUGAGUAGGGCGGGACACGUGGUAUCCUGUCUGAAUAUGGGGGACCAUCCUCCAAGGCUAAAUACUCCUGACUGACCGAUAGUGAACCAGUACCGUGAGGGAAAGGCGAAAAGAACCCCGGCGAGGGAGUGAAAAAGAACCUGAAACCGUGUACGUACAAGCAGUGGGAGCCUCUUUAUGGGGUGACUGCGUACCUUUUGUAUAAUGGGUCAGCGACUUAUAUUCUGUAGCAAGGUUAACCGAAUAGGGGAGCCGAAGGGAAACCGAGUCUUAACUGGGCGUUAAGUUGCAGGGUAUAGACCCGAAACCCGGUGAUCUAGCCAUGGGCAGGUUGAAGGUUGGGUAACACUAACUGGAGGACCGAACCGACUAAUGUUGAAAAAUUAGCGGAUGACUUGUGGCUGGGGGUGAAAGGCCAAUCAAACCGGGAGAUAGCUGGUUCUCCCCGAAAGCUAUUUAGGUAGCGCCUCGUGAAUUCAUCUCCGGGGUAGAGCACUGUUUCGGCAAGGGGGUCAUCCCGACUUACCAACCCGAUGCAAACUGCGAAUACCGGAGAAUGUUAUCACGGGAGACACACGGCGGGUGCUAACGUCCGUCGUGAAGAGGGAAACAACCCAGACCGCCAGCUAAGGUCCCAAAGUCAUGGUUAAGUGGGAAACGAUGUGGGAAGGCCCAGACAGCCAGGAUGUUGGCUUAGAAGCAGCCAUCAUUUAAAGAAAGCGUAAUAGCUCACUGGUCGAGUCGGCCUGCGCGGAAGAUGUAACGGGGCUAAACCAUGCACCGAAGCUGCGGCAGCGACACUAUGUGUUGUUGGGUAGGGGAGCGUUCUGUAAGCCUGCGAAGGUGUACUGUGAGGUAUGCUGGAGGUAUCAGAAGUGCGAAUGCUGACAUAAGUAACGAUAAAGCGGGUGAAAAGCCCGCUCGCCGGAAGACCAAGGGUUCCUGUCCAACGUUAAUCGGGGCAGGGUGAGUCGACCCCUAAGGCGAGGCCGAAAGGCGUAGUCGAUGGGAAACAGGUUAAUAUUCCUGUACUUGGUGUUACUGCGAAGGGGGACGGAGAAGGCUAUGUUGGUAGGGCGACGGUUGUCCCGGUUUAAGCGUGUAGGCUGGUUUUCCAGGCAAAUCCGGAAAAUCAAGGCUGAGGCGUGAUGACGAGGCACUACGGUGCUGAAGCAACAAAUGCCCUGCUUCCAGGAAAAGCCUCUAAGCAUCAGGUAACAUCAAAUCGUACCCCAAACCGACACAGGUGGUCAGGUAGAGAAUACCAAGGCGCUUGAGAGAACUCGGGUGAAGGAACUAGGCAAAAUGGUGCUGUAACUUCGGGAGAAGGCACGCUGAUAUGUAGGUGAAGUCCCUCGCGGAUGGAGCUGAAAUCAGUCGAAGAUACCAGCUGGCUGCAACUGUUUAUUAAAAACACAGCACUGUGCAAACACGAAAGUGGACGUAUACGGUGUGACGCCUGCCCGGUGCCGGAAGGUUAAUUGAUGGGGUUAGCGGUAACGCGAAGCUCUUGAUCGAAGCCCCGGUAAACGGCGGUACGUAACUAUAACGGUCCUAAGGUAGCGAAAUUCCUUGUCGGGUAAGUUCCGACCUGCACGAAUGGCGUAAUGAUGGCGAGGCUGUCUCCACCCGAGACUCAGUGAAAUUGAACUCGCUGUGAAGAUGCAGUGUACCCGCGGCAAGACGGAAAGACCCCGUGAACCUUUACUAUAGCUUGACACUGAACAUUGAGCCUUGAUGUGUAGGAUAGGUGGGAGGCUUUGAAGUGUGGACGCCAGUCUGCAUGGAGCCGACCUUGAAAUACCACCCUUUAAUGUUUGAUGUUCUAACGUUGGCCCCUGAUCGGGGUUGCGGACAGUGUCUGGUGGGUAGUUUGACUGGGGCGGUCUCCUCCUAAAGAGUAACGGAGGAGCACGAAGGUUGGCUAAUCCUGGUCGGACAUCAGGAGGUUAGUGCAAUGGCAUAAGCCAGCUUGACUGCGAGCGUGACGGCGCGAGCAGGUGCGAAAGCAGGUCAUAGUGAUCCGGUGGUUCUGAAUGGAAGGGCCAUCGCUCAACGGAUAAAAGGUACUCCGGGGAUAACAGGCUGAUACCGCCCAAGAGUUCAUAUCGACGGCGGUGUUUGGCACCUCGAUGUCGGCUCAUCACAUCCUGGGGCUGAAGUAGGUCCCAAGGGUAUGGCUGUUCGCCAUUUAAAGUGGUACGCGAGCUGGGUUUAGAACGUCGUGAGACAGUUCGGUCCCUAUUCUGCCGUGGGCGCUGGAGAACUGAGGGGGCUGCUCCUAGUACGAGAGGACCGGAGUGGACGCAUCACUGGUGUUCGGGUUGUCAUGCCAAUGGCACUGCCCGGUAGCUAAAUGCGGAAGAGAUAAGUGCUGAAAGCAUCUAAGCACGAAACUUGCCCCGAGAUGAGUUCUCCCUGACUCCUUGAGAGUCCUGAAGGAACGUUGAAGACGACGACGUUGAUAGGCCGGGUGUGUAAGCGCAGCGAUGCGUUGAGCUAACCGGUACUAAUGAACCGUGAGGCUUAACCUU
rnacentral:rRNA from 1 species